rnacentral:rRNA from 1 species
UACGAAGGGGGCUAGCGUUGCUCGGAAUCACUGGGCGUAAAGCGCACGUAGGCGGCUUCUUAAGUCAGGGGUGAAAUCCUGGAAGUCAACUCCCAGAACUGCCUUUGAUACUGAGGAGCUUGAGUCCGGGGAGAGGUGAGUGGAACUGGCGAGUGUAGAGGUGAAAUUCGUAGAUAUCGCAAGAGCACCAGUGGCGAAGGCGGCUCACUGGCCCGGUACUGACGCUGAGGUGCGAAAGCGUGGGGAGCAAACAGG